ACCAUGGCAGGGCGGGACGACUACCGACCUUCGCCCAUACCCUGCAACGAUCCGGUUCUCCACGCAACGUCAGUGACGGUGUCAGACGCCAUCAGAGGUGCGACCCUGCCUCACACAGGUGGGUACACCAGGAAACGGUAAGCUUCCCCAUAAAUACCCUUGCGUUCUAAACGGAGGGGGGGACAGAACACACACAAGAGCACUCCCUCUUCCACCACCCUCUCCACGUCGCUAACUUGAUCGUCGGAGGGGUCGGGUUGAGCCUCCGACCCGACCAGUGUGCAGGUGCGAGACGAGGUUGCCUCUUCCCCGACGCUGCGGCAGAGCUCUCCCCCUGACGGGACAUCCAGAUCACCGAGGGUCGGCCACCAGAAGGACCCAAGGCAUGCCACGCAAGAUCCCCGCCAUUCGGACCCCUGAACCAGCCGCGUCGACCCCGAG
rnacentral:lncRNA from 1 species